UACGGUGGGAGCAAGCGUUGUUCGGAUUUACUGGGCGUAAAGGGCGCGUAGGCGGUAGCACAAGUCAGUUGUGAAAUCUCCGGGCUUAACUCGGAAAGGUCAACUGAUACUGUGCGACUAGAGUGCAGAAGGGGCAACUGGAAUUCUCGGUGUAGCGGUGAAAUGCGUAGAUAUCGGGAGGAACACCGGUGGCGAAGGCGGUCUUCUGGACGGUGACUGACGCUGAGGCGCGAAAGCGUGGGGAGCGAACAGG
rnacentral:rRNA from 1 species